rnacentral:rRNA from 1 species
UACGUAGGGUGCAAGCGUUAAUCGGAAUUACUGGGCGUAAAGCGUGCGCAGGCGGUUGUGCAAGACAGAUGUGAAAUCCCCGGGCUCAACCUGGGAACUGCAUUUGUGACUGCACGGCUAGAGUGUGUCAGAGGGGGGUAGAAUUCCACGUGUAGCAGUGAAAUGCGUAGAGAUGUGGAGGAAUACCGAUGGCGAAGGCAGCCCCCCUGGGAUAGCACUGACGCUCAUGCACGAAAGCGUGGGGAGCAAACAGG